CAAACUUGAUAGUGCUGAUGACGUCGAUUAUCGACGUCAUAAAGAACAAAUUUGAUGGUGUUUAUGACGUCGAAUAUCGACGUCAUAAACACCAAAC
rnacentral:miRNA from 1 species